rnacentral:misc_RNA from 1 species
GAUGAAGAACGUAGCGAAAUGCGAUAAGUAAUGUGAAUUGCAGAAUUCAGUGAAUCAUCGAAUCUUUGAACGCACAUUGCGCCCGCCAGUAUUCUGGCGGGCAUGCCUGUUCGAGCGUCAUUUCAACCCUCAAGCCCCCGGGCUUGGUGUUGGGGAUCGGCGUGCCCUCGCGGCGCGCCGUCCCCUAAAUCUAGUGGCGGUCUCGCUGUAGCUUCCUCUGCGUAGUAGCAACACUCGCACUGGAUCGCAGCGCGGCCACGCCGUUAAACCCCCCACUUCUGAAAGUUUGACCUCGGAUCAGGUAGGAAUACCCGCUGAACUUAAGCAUAUCAUAAGCGGAGGA